CCUACGGGAGGCUGCAGUGGGGAAUAUUGGACAAUGGGGGCAACCCUGAUCCAGCCAUGCCGCGUGUGUGAAGAAGGCCCUCGGGUUGUAAAGCACUUUCAGUGAGGAAGAACGCCUGGUGGUUAAUACCCAUCAGGAAAGACAUCACUCACAGAAGAAGCACCGGCUAACUCCGUGCCAGCAGCCGCGGUAAUACGGAGGGUGCGAGCGUUAAUCGGAAUUACUGGGCGUAAAGCGCGCGUAGGUGGCUUGAUAAGCCGGUUGUGAAAGCCCCGGGCUCAACCUGGGAACGGCAUCCGGAACUGUCAAGCUAGAGUGCAGGAGAGGAAGGUAGAAUUCCCGGUGUAGCGGUGAAAUGCGUAGAGAUCGGGAGGAAUACCAGUGGCGAAGGCGGCCUUCUGGACUGACACUGACACUGAGGUGCGAAAGCGUGGGUAGCAAACAGGAUUAGAUGCCCUGGUAGUC
rnacentral:rRNA from 1 species